AGUGAACGCUGGCGGUAGGCCUAACACGUGCAAGUCGAACGGCAGCACAGUAAGAGCUUGCUCUUACGGGUGGCGAGUGGCGGACGGGUGAGGAAUACAUCGGAAUCUACUUUUUCGUGGGGGAUAACGUAGGGAAACUUACGCUAAUACCGCAUACGACCUACGGGUGAAAGCAGGGGAUCUUCGGACCUUGCGCGAUUGAAUGAGCCGAUGUCGGAUUAGCUAGUUGGCGGGGUAAAGGCCCACCAAGGCGACGAUCCGUAGCUGGUCUGAGAGGAUGAGCAGCCACACUGGAACUGAGACACGGUCCAGACUCCUACGGGAGGCCGCAGUGGGGAAUAUUGGACAAUGGGCGCAAGCCUGAUCCAGCCAUACCGCGUGGGUGAAGAAGGCCUUCGGGUUGUAAAGCCCUUUUGUUGGGAAAGAAAAGCAGCAGGUUAAUACCCCGCUGUUCUGACGGUACCCAAAGAAUAAGCACCGGCUAACUUCGUG
rnacentral:rRNA from 1 species